rnacentral:lncRNA from 1 species
UCCAAUCUCAUCCAUCUAUUUCUUAUAUUUAAACCGUACAUUAAUAUAUUUUUUAUACCCUAAAAGAACCACAUCAAAAAAUAAAAUGAAUUAUUAUAAUCUACCUUUUUUUUUCUUUUUAAUGACUCACAUAUCUCAUCUCUUUCUCGCUCUCUCACGCCACUUUGACCUCUCUCCCCUUCUCUCAUUCUUUCUCUUUUUUUACUUAUUACUUCUCUAUCUACCUUUUAGUACCCCACCCCAGUUCCAUAGUCCUCAUAUGUCCAUCCAUUAUAUUUAAACCUCACAUUAAUUUAUUUUUUAUAUCUUAAUUAAUUCAAAUACAAUAGAUAACCAUAUAUUCUUCUUAUCUCUCUUCUCAAUCUGAAUUAAAU